rnacentral:rRNA from 1 species
CCUACGGGAGGCAGCAGUGAGGAAUAUUGGUCAAUGGGCGAGAGCCUGAACCAGCCAAGUCGCGUGAGGGAGUACUGCCCUAUGGGUUGUAAACCUCUUUUGUCGGGGAGCAAAAGCCGGACGUGUCCGGCUGUGAGAGUACCCGAAGAAAAAGCAUCGGCUAACUCCGUGCCAGCAGCCGCGGUAAUCCGUAGGAUGCGAGGGUUAGCCGGAUUUAUGGGGUUUAAAGGGUGCGGAGGCGGAGUUUUAAGGCAGCGGUAAAAUCGUGGGGCUCAACCCCAUCCAGUCGUUGAAACUGGGGAUCUAGAGUGUGCGAGAGGCAGGCGGAAUGCGUGGUGUAGCGGUGAAAUGCAUAGAUAUCACGCAGAACCCCGAUUGCGAAGGCAGCAUACCGGUGCACAACUGACGCUCAGGCACGAAAGCGUGGGUAUCGAACAGGAUUAGAUACCCCGGUAGUC